ACGCACGCUGGCGGCGUGCUUCACCCCUGCCAGUCGCACGGAAAGGCCCUGCUUUUGUGGGGUGCUCGAGUGGCGAACGGGUGAGUAACACGUGAGUAACCUGCCCUUGACUUUGGGAUAACUUCAGGAAACUGGGGCUAAUACCGGAUAGGAGCUCCUGCUGCAUGGUGGGGGUUGGAAAGUUUCGGCGGUUGGGGAUGGACUCGCGGCUUAUCAGCUUGUUGGUGGGGUAGUGGCUUACCAAGGCUUUGACGGGUAGCCGGCCUGAGAGGGUGACCGGCCACAUUGGGACUGAGAUACGGCCCAAACUCCUACGGGAGGCAGCAGUGGGGAAUAUUGCACAAUGGGCGGAAGCCUGAUGCAGCAACGCCGCGUGCGGGAUGACGGCCUUCGGGUUGUAAACCGCUUUCGCCUGUGACGAAGCGUGAGUGACGGUAAUGGGUAAAGAAGCACCGGCUAACUACGUG
rnacentral:rRNA from 1 species